GACGAACGCUGGCGGCGUGCUUAACACAUGCAAGUCGAACGGAAAGGCCCUGCUUUUGUGGGGUGCUCGAGUGGCGAACGGGUGAGUAACACGUGAGUAACCUGCCCUUGACUUUGGGAUAACUUCAGGAAACUGGGGCUAAUACCGGAUAGGAGCUCCUGCUGCAUGGUGGGGGUUGGAAAGUUUCGGCGGUUGGGGAUGGACUCGCGGCUCAUCAGCUUGUUGGUUGGGUAGUGGCUUACCAAGGCCUUGACGGGUAGCCGGCCUGAGAGGGGGACCGGCCACGUUGGGACUGAAAUACGGCCCAGACUCCUACGGGAGGCAGCAGUGGAGAAUAUUGCACAAUGGGCUGAAGCCUGAUGCAGCAACGCCGCGUGCGGGAUGACGGCCUUCGGGUUGUAAACCGCUGUCGCCUGUGACGAAGCGUGAGUGACGGUAAUGGGUAAAGAAGCACCGGCUAACUACGUG
rnacentral:rRNA from 1 species